UACGUAGGGUGCAAGCGUUAAUCGGAAUUACUGGGCGUAAAGCGUGCGCAGGCGGCUAUGCAAGACAGAUGUGAAAUCCCCGGGCUCAACCUGGGAACUGCAUUCGUGACUGCAUGGCUAGAGUACGGUAGAGGGGGAUGGAAUUCCGCGUGUAGCAGUGAAAUGCGUAGAUAUGCGGAGGAACACCGAUGGCGAAGGCAAUCCCCUGGACCUGUACUGACGCUCAUGCACGAAAGCGUGGGGAGCAAACAGG
rnacentral:rRNA from 1 species